rnacentral:rRNA from 1 species
UACGUAGGGUGCAGGCGUUAAUCGGAAUUACUGGGCGUAAAGCGUGCGCAGGCGGUUUGCUAAGACAGGUGUGAAAUCCCCGGGCUUAACCUGGGAACUGCGCUUGUAACUGGCAAGCUAGAGUGUGGCAGAGGGGGGUGGAAUUCCAGGUGUAGCAGUGAAAUGCGUAGAGAUCUGGAGGAACACCGAUGGCGAAGGCAGCCCCCUGGGCUAACACUGACGCUCAUGCACGAAAGCUAGGGGAGCAAACAGG